rnacentral:rRNA from 1 species
AACGAACGCUGGCGGCAUGCCUAACACAUGCAAGUCGAACGAGACCUUCGGGUCUAGUGGCGCACGGGUGCGUAACGCGUGGGAACCUGCCCUUAGGUUCGGAAUAACUCCCCGAAAGGGGUGCUAAUACCGGAUAAUGUCUUCGGACCAAAGAUUUAUCGCCUUUGGGUGGGCCCGCGUUGGAUUAGCUAGUUGGUAGGGUAAAAGCCUACCAAGGCGACGAUCCAUAGCUGGUCUGAGAGGAUGAUCAGCGACACUGGGACUGAGACACGGCCCAGACUCCUACGGGAGGCAGCAGUGGGGAAUAUUGGAAAAUGGGCGAAAGCCUGAUCCAGCAAUGCCGCGUGAGUGAUGAAGGCCUUAGGGUUGUAAAGCUCUUUUACCCGGGAUGAUAAUGACAGUACCGGGAGAAUAAGCGCCGGCUAACUCCGUG